rnacentral:rRNA from 1 species
AUUGAACGCUGGCGGCAGGCCUAACACAUGCAAGUCGAGCGGCAGCACGGGUACUUGUACCUGGUGGCGAGCGGCGGACGGGUGAGUAAUGCCUAGGAAUCUGCCUGGUAGUGGGGGAUAACGCUCGGAAACGGACGCUAAUACCGCAUACGUCCUACGGGAGAAAGCAGGGGACCUUCGGGCCUUGCGCUAUCAGAUGAGCCUAGGUCGGAUUAGCUAGUUGGUGAGGUAAUGGCUCACCAAGGCGACGAUCCGUAACUGGUCUGAGAGGAUGAUCAGUCACACUGGAACUGAGACACGGUCCAGACUCCUACGGGAGGCAGCAGUGGGGAAUAUUGGACAAUGGGCGAAAGCCUGAUCCAGCCAUGCCGCGUGUGUGAAGAAGGUCUUCGGAUUGUAAAGCACUUUAGGUUGGGAGGAAGGGCAUUAACCUAAUACGUUGGUGUCUGACGUACCGA